rnacentral:ncRNA from 2 species
GAACGACCGCCGGGAGAGUCCGAAGGGGGAAACCCCGUCGGCGCCGAAGGAGCAACCGCCCCGGAAACUCUCAGGCCAACGGACCGGACGGU